GACGAACGCUGGCGGCGUGCUUAACACAUGCAAGUCGAACGAAGUGGCGCACGGGUGAGUCACGCGUAAUCAACCUGCCCUUCAGAGGGGGGCCACAGUUGGAAACGACUGCUAAUCCCGCAUACUGAAGCAGGGGUUUGCGUCUGUUUAGCUAGUUGGUGGGGUAACGGCCCACCAAGGCGAAGAUCAGUAGCCGGACUGAUGGGAUGAACGGCCACAUUGGGACUGAGACACGGCCCAGACCCCUACGGGAGGCAGCAGUGGGGAAUCUUCCGCAAUGGACGGAAGGCUGACGGAGCAACGCCGGGGGAGUGAUGACGGCCUUCGGGUUGGAAAGCUCUGGUAAUCGGGACGCGGUACCGGAAUAGAAAGCCACGGCUAACUACGUGCCAGCAGCCGCGGUAAUUC
rnacentral:rRNA from 1 species